rnacentral:tRNA from 2 species
GCGGGUGUAGCUCAGUCGGUUAGAGCGCUUGAUUGUGGCUCAAGAGGUCGUGGGUUCGAAUCCCAUCACUCGCCCCA